UGGGGAAUAUUGGACAAUGGGCGAAAGCCUGAUCCAGCCAUGCCGCGUGUGUGAAGAAGGUCUUCGGAUUGUAAAGCACUUUAAGUUGGGAGGAAGGGCAUUUACCUAAUACGUAAGUGUUUUGACGUUACCGACAGAAUAAGCACCGGCUAACUCUGUGCCAGCAGCCGCGGUAAUACAGAGGGUGCAAGCGUUAAUCGGAAUUACUGGGCGUAAAGCGCGCGUAGGUGGUUCGUUAAGUUGGAUGUGAAAUCCCCGGGCUCAACCUGGGAACUGCAUUCAAAACUGUCGAGCUAGAGUAUGGUAGAGGGUGGUGGAAUUUCCUGUGUAGCGGUGAAAUGCGUAGAUAUAGGAAGGAACACCAGUGGCGAAGGCGACCACCUGGACUGAUACUGACACUGAGGUGCGAAAGCGUGGGGAGCAAACA
rnacentral:rRNA from 1 species